rnacentral:sRNA from 2 species
UUUUAGCCCCGACAGCAGCGGCAUCCUUUGCUUUUUUGCUGCCAAAAAAGCAAAGAUAUAGCGGAUGGCGGGACGAUGU